GAUUUGAAAUUUUUUCGAUUUGACUGGAGUCAAAUCGAGUAAAAUUGUUCGAGUUAAAUUAAAAUCUUGUUACAGUAUAAUUAAUUUCAUGUUAGAGUACUUAAAUUUGAAACUAUAUAUAUUUGAAAACUUUUUCAAACCAAAAUGAUAAUAAAAAAAUAAUUUAAUAUGAUAAACUUGAAUUAUUAAUUGACUUAAUUAGGUCCCAAAGUUAUUAUUUUAGAAAAAAAAUAAUUU
rnacentral:lncRNA from 1 species